CAGUAGCCGCGGUAAUACGGAGGGAGCUAGCGUUAUUCGGAAUUACUGGGCGUAAAGCGCACGUAGGCGGCUUUGUAAGUUAGAGGUGAAAGCCUGGAGCUCAACUCCAGAAUUGCCUUUAAGACUGCAUCGCUUGAAUCCAGGAGAGGUGAGUGGAAUUCCGAGUGUAGAGGUGAAAUUCGUAGAUAUUCGGAAGAACACCAGUGGCGAAGGCGGCUCACUGGACUGGUAUUGACGCUGAGGUGCGAAAGCGUGGGGAGCAAACAGGAUUAGAGACCCCAGUAGUCCCUGUCUCUUAUAA
rnacentral:rRNA from 1 species